rnacentral:rRNA from 1 species
GAUGAACGCUAGCGGCAGGCUUAACACAUGCAAGUCGAGGGGUAUAAGUAGCUUGCUACUUAGAGACCGGCAAACGGGUGCGGAACACGUACGCAAUCUGCCCUUAUCUCAGGGAUAGCCCAUAGAAAUGUGGAUUAAUACCUGAUAGUAUUAUUGGAAGGCAUCUUUUAGUAAUUAAAGAUUUAUUGGAUAAGGAUGAGCGUGCGUAAGAUUAGGUAGUUGGUAGGGUAACGGCCUACCAAGCCCACGAUCUUUAGCUGAUGUGAGAGCAUGAUCAGCCACACGGGCACUGAGACACGGGCCCGACUCCUACGGGAGGCAGCAGUGAGGAAUAUUGGUCAAUGGACGGAAGUCUGAACCAGCCAUGCCGCGUGAAGGAUGAAGGCGUUCUGCGUUGUAAACUUCUUUUAUUGGGGAAGAAACCACAGAUUUCUAUUUGUGUUGACGGUAUCCAAUGAAUAAGCACCGGCUAACUCCGUG